rnacentral:lncRNA from 1 species
CGAUCAGAAGUUACAGGUAUGCGGCACACUUUCUCUGCAGUGCUGGGUUACCUUUGAAGUUGAAAGCUACAGGUGUCAUGCCCCCGGGUGGUGAUAUAUAUAUGACAUCGGCAAUAGGCACUAUUGCGUAACAUGCGUCGAAUCUGUGUACAUGAUCACCUGCUGGGUGCACAGGUGAGGUUGGAAAAUAUACUAGAGCAAUGGUUACAGAUAUAAGUUACGUAAUGCAUAUCUGUUUAACCUGUUUGAAUAAACAAUAGGCAAUACCUUACUGACGGAUAUGGGGGUUUACAGAAUAGAGAAAAGAGGACUGACAGUGCAGCUUAAAAAAGGGGGGCGAUACAAAAAUAAUGUGUUUGUGAAUUUACUUAGUAAAGAAUGGAGUAUCUAUAAUAAUAUUAGAUAAGCAAAAUAAAUAGAGAAUUAAGAAGAAAUGCUUCUAAAGUAAAAAAUUAAUAAUAAA